AGGUACGGUCUUUCCAACUUGGAUGCUACUCUUGAAGGAACACCAGACGACAUGACAGUUGUAGAUGCUGCUUCCUUAAGACGACAGAUAAUCAAACUUAAUCGCCGUCUACAACUUCUGGAAGAAGAAAACAAAGAGCGUGUUAAAAGGGAAAUGAUAAUGUAUUCAAUUACUGUAGCUUUCUGGCUACUCAAUAGCUGGCUUUGGUUUCGGCGCUAGACACAGCUCUCGGAAAGAUUUAAUAGUUGAAAAUAGAAACAAUUUGCAGAAUUCUUUGUUUUUGAAUUGUACGCUGUUUUAUAAUUCAUACACUGGAAACUUCCACCACAGAUAAAGGCUAUAGAAUUGCAGUGUUAACGGGACACCAUGUUGUUCAGUUAUAAUGUAUUUAAUAGAUUUGCAUUGCAAAUACUUGCAGUAUCCUCCUUUUGCAUGCUUCUGUGUAAAUAUAGAUCAGCCAAUACAAAGUUUGCUUCAUGCAGUGUAAGGACAGUGAUCUACAACCACUGGAUGUUUUGUUGUGGUGGGAAGAGAACAAAUGGAAUGGGUUUGGAAAAAAAAUACCAAAACAAAGGAAUGAAAAGUUUUUCUUGUUCUGUUGUUAGAUGCAAUUAAACAUGAUUGCACUAGAUUUCCUUUAGUCUGAGUAGUUUGAGGUAUGCCAUCUUCAAGGAGUGUGUCCUGUUUCAUGAGUGUGUUCCUUGUUUAAGCACAUGUUCAGGUCAAAUAAUAAAAGGUAUUCUUUGCUAACAUGCAGAUCGUCCAGAAGUGUGUAAUAUGUAUUUUCUUUUAGCUUUAAUUUUGCAGAUGUUUUUCUAUAAAAGACAUUUUUAAGCAAGUCAGUCUGUGAGUGAUCAAAAGAUUAUAGAGUCCAAGAUACUGAUGUAGUAUAUUUAAUAAAACGCUC